GAUGAACGCUGGCGGCGUGCCUAAUACAUGCAAGUCGAGCGAACGGACGAGAAGCUUGCUUCUCUGAUGUUAGCGGCGGACGGUGGAGUACCAGUUGGUUAACCUACUUAUAAGCCUGGGAUAACUUCGGGAAACCGGAGCUAAUACCGGAUAAUAUUUUGAACCGCAUGUUUCAAAAGUGAAAGAGGGUCUUGCGGUCACUUAUAGAUGGAUCCGCGCGGCAUUAGCUAGUUGGUAAGGUAACGUCUUACCAAGGCAACGAUGCAUAGCCGACCUGAGAGGGGGAUCGGCCACACUGGAACUGAGACACGGUCCAGACUCCUACGGGAGGCAGCAGUAGGGAAUCUUCCGCAAUGGGCGAAAGCCUGACGGAGCAACGCCGCGUGAGUGAUGAAGGUCUUCGGAUCGUAAAACUCUGUUAUUAGGGAAGAACAUAUGUGUAAGUAACUGUGCACAUCUUGACGGUACCUAAUCAGAAAGCCACGGCUAACUACGUG
rnacentral:rRNA from 1 species